CCUACGGGAGACAGCAGUGAGGAAUAUUGGUCAAUGGGCGAGAGCCUGAACCAGCCAAGUCGCGUGAAGGAUGACGGCCCUACGGGUUGUAAACUUCUUUUGUCAGGGAGCAAUUGGGUCCACGCGUGGGCUUAGCGAGAGUACCUGAAGAAAAAGCAUCGGCUAACUCCGUGCCAGCAGCCGCGGUAAUACGGAGGAUGCGAGCGUUAUCCGGAUUUACUGGGUGUAAAGGGAGCGUAGACGGCGGUGCAAGCCAGAUGUGAAAGCCUGGGGCUCAACCCCGGGACUGCAUUUGGAACUGUGCUGCUAGAGUGGCGGAGAGGCAGGCGGAAUUUCUAGUGUAGCGGUGAAAUGCGGAGAUAUUAGGAGGAACACCAGGGGCGAAGGCGGCCUGCUGGACGAUGACUGACGUUGAGGCUCGAAAGCGUGGGGAGCAAACAGGAUUAGAUACCCGAGUAGUC
rnacentral:rRNA from 1 species